ACUCUUCACAUGCCAUGUAGUUUUAUACCUCCAUGCUUUUUUUCACAGUUCUAGUCUCCUAGAAUGUCCUCCCAAACCCCAAAUAUAGGUUCCCCAGUGCUACCCAUUCUUUAGAACUCCAGUCUCUGACACCUUUCCUUUUCCUAUAGCUCAAUCUAUGAGCAUCUUCUCUCCUAGCUGUGUGUUCUGAAACCUCUCCUGGUUCACUCAUCAACUUUUUCCUACCCUUUGAUGGCUGCAUAUUCCUGGGCCUAUUUGUUAAAAGCACUGAGACCAGAAUAUAAGGAGAUCACAAUGCAGAAACCUCCAACUGUGAAUGGGCUCCUCUGAUCUUUCUUAGGACUAUUUCACUAUUAUUUUGUAGCGUUCAAAAGGAUGAAAAAUUUGUACCCGUUUAAGGAUAGCUAGCUAUAUGGUCUGCUCAUUAAAAAUUAAAAUUCGCCUUCAUUCUGAACACACAUGACAUAAGAGUAACAUUCAUUACUGAUCUUGGUAGGGAAAUGUGUGUGUGUGUGUGUGUUUUCACAUCGAAACCUUUCCCAUAGAGGUAGUCAACUUUUUGCAGUAACUUAACACAAUGGCAAGAACUGAAGACCUUUAGGGGAAAUAUA